rnacentral:lncRNA from 1 species
CAUCUUUCUCUGGGACUUUCUACCUGAAGCUAUUAAUUGGCUUCAUAAAAGUUAAUGAAUUGAUAAAAACAACACCGUUCUUCUGAAUAGCUUUGUGGUUUUUUUUUUUUUUUUUUUUUUUUUUUUUUUUUGCAGUUGUAUAAACAGAAGUGCAACCUACGAUAAAGGUAUUCACUUUGAGUGAAUUUUGUGAUACUCACAAAAUCAGCAGCAUCACUGCCUUGUGACGUAGUGGGAGUAAUACCGGUCUAAGGAAGGAAUUUGUGACAAGGAAAAUACCAUUUGUUACCUUCUGUUGUUAAUUUGUCUUUACUAAACAGGACACAAUGGUCAUUAAUAAAGGUGCUUGUUUACCCUUACUGCAUGGGAUGUAGAAGUCCUGUGUAUAGCUGAAGUGUGCAACUUGUUUUGGUUCUCAUGCAAGCCGUAAUGCACUGACAUUCUUUUCCAUCAUGGUUGGUGUGCACAUGGUUUUAUUUCCUCCGUGUGUCUGCAGUUAGUAGCAGAACAAAACUGAAGCAGAAUCUGGAAACUUAAUCAGACUGGCAAAUGAUAAAGGCGUUUUUUAGAGGAACCAAAAAUGUAUAUGCCUAUAAAAGACAAUUAGACAUUUAAAACAUGCUUCUAACUACAUUCAUAUGAAAGACUAUUAAGAAUCAAGGAAUUCAGUUACUUUUUCUUUAAUUGGAUGCUUUUUUUUAAUGUAUGAAAACUUCUGUUAAUAAAUAGCACCUGUCAGCAAUUUAUCUGAUCUCUCAUUUCCUCUCAACAUUAAUCCUGAGUGCCCUCCCUUUCUUUUUGUCACUUCCCCACUGCAGCCCAGCAGCUCUCUGCCCAGUGUUGGAUCAGGUCAAGAUGGUAUCUUUGUGGGCAGGACUGCUGCCAGCCCUCACUGGGAGAGGAAGUCUGAAGCCAACAAGAAGUCACUCACCUUGCUCCUAAGGAGAGUGAGCACCCUUCAGGAAGAGAAGUUUCAGCACCAGGAACCAAAGCAACUGCUACCUUGCUUCAGCAGGAUCCAGAUUUUCAUCUGAGAUCCUUUCUGUCUAGGCUGACUAACCAUAGCAAUGAGGACCUGUCGUUCUCUGUGCAGGACAAAUAAAGAUAUUGGUUGCAUCUAAUCA